rnacentral:lncRNA from 1 species
GGCAGGGGCGGCCCGGUCCAGAGCGCGCGAAGCCUACCCGCCCUGGGAGCAGAGGUCCUGGAGCGGCACCAGCAGCUGCCAAAGGGCAUCUUGCGAGGCGAGGUCUGGCGGAGGUCCUGCGCAGACUUAGGAGACACGGCUGGACUCGUGACUCGGCUGCAGGUGACGCCAGGGAGACUCAGUACGCGCUCCGAGGCGCAGUCCCGGGCUGGCCCGGCGCCGCUGGGCAGAGGAAUCUUCUGGGACUUUGAAGAGGGAUUCCGAUGUGAGAAUUCCUGGAAGAGCCAAGAAAACACCAGCAUUGAAGCCUGCGUGGCGUUCAGUUUGCUGACAACUUCAGAAGAAACAGCUGUCGUGUGGGGUUCUUGGCCAGCCGGCCGUUACAUCUUUUUCAGGCAACAAGCAAGUUUCCUAGAAGCAUCGUGCUGCAGGAACAGCACUUGGCUUCGUCAUCCCCAAGGCAUACAUGUCUCAUCCAUCACUUUCCAGCCAUCGGUACUUGACGACAAAUUGUUCCUUCCCAACUGCUCACACUGCAGCUUUUAUCCACUGAAGCCCUUGCUCCCUGACGUGUCUGUCAGCCUUGCACAGUAACUAGAAUGUUUCAUCCAGCUCUUGUGCAACAAUCCUUGAAGCAUGUCAGCUCCUGGAAACAAACGCACUUGCCAGAAAAACAUGUACGUCAACCAGCAAAGAAAAAAAAACUUAUUUAUUAGAGCUUGAAAUCGCCACAAUCUGUAAAGCACAGCAAGGAAAAGAAGCUUCCCCUGCCUGUGUUGGUAUUAUUGUUAUUAUUAAAAUAGAGUUGAUUUACAGUGCUUCUUCAGUUUCUGUUGUACA